UGUGUGUGUGUGUGUGUGUGUUCAACUGGUAGAAAAAGGCAUGAAAGACAGGUGCAAAAAUAAAUCCUCUUUUGCAACCCAGAACUCUUUAUUCAGUAUGGGUUUUGAUGCAUAUGAGAAGGAAAAUA
rnacentral:snoRNA from 1 species